rnacentral:rRNA from 1 species
UAGGGGGCAAGCGUUAUCCGGUAUUAUUGGGCGUAAAGAGUGCGUAGGUGGUUACUUAAGCGCGGGGUUUAAGGCAAUGGCUCAACCAUUGUUCGCCCUGCGAACUGGGUUACUUGAGUGCAGGAGAGGAAAGCGGAAUUCCUAGUGUAGCGGUGAAAUGCGUAGAUAUUAGGAGGAACACCAGUGGCGAAGGCGGCUUUCUGGACUGUUACUGACACUGAGGCACGAAAGUGUGGGGAGCAA